AAAGAUCAUUGUAGCAGCAGAAUUCUGAUAAGAUGGAGGAAAGAAAAGCCAGAGUGAAGCAGACCAUUAGCAGAUAAUUGUCAUAAUCUUGAUACUAAAUGGAGACCAGAAUUAAGAUUUAGGAAGCUUCAGCCUGUAAAUGGCAGUUGAAGCCAUACUUAUUGCUGAAAUUGCAUACAGUCAGAACACUGAAUACAGAAACUUGAAGAACAACAUCAUUUCAGUCAGGAGUACCAAAAAGAGCUUUUAAGAAAACGGAAGCAGAAAAUGGCAUAGAAGAAGCUGAACCUAAAAUAUUCAGCUUUCAAAGAAUUGAAUGAAGCCCAUCCACACUGGGAAGGCAAUCUGCUUUGUUCAGUCUACUGAUUCAACUGUCAAUCUCAUCCAGAAACACCUUCCCAGAUGCACCAAGAAUGUUUAAGCAAAUAUCUGGGCACCUCGUGGUCCAGUCAAUUUGACAUAUAAAAUUAACCAUCCGAUGGUUCAACAUACAUGUACCUGUGAUGUUUAACCUACAAAUAAAGAUUGCUAAGAGGUCAAUAUUUCUG
rnacentral:lncRNA from 1 species